GACGAACGCUGGCGGCGUGCCUAAUACAUGCAAGUAGAACGCUGAAGGAGGAGCUUGCUUCUCUGGAUGAGUUGCGAACGGGUGAGUAACGCGUAGGUAACCUGCCUGGUAGCGGGGGAUAACUAUUGGAAACGAUAGCUAAUACCGCAUAAUAGCAGUUGUUGCAUGACAACUGUUUGAAAGGUGCAAUUGCACCACUACCAGAUGGACCUGCGUUGUAUUAGCUAGUUGGUGGGGUAACGACUCACCAAGGCGACGAUACAUAGCCGACCUGAGAGGGUGAUCGGCCACACUGGGACUGAGACACGGCCCAGACUCCUACGGGAGGCAGCAGUAGGGAAUCUUCGGCAAUGGACGGAAGUCUGACCGAGCAACGCCGCGUGAGUGAAGAAGGUUUUCGGAUCGUAAAGCUCUGUUGUAAGAGAAGAACGAGUGUGAGAGUGGAAAGUUCACACUGUGACGGUAUCUUACCAGAAAGGGACGGCUAACUACGUG
rnacentral:rRNA from 1 species